GACGAACCGUCCUAACGUUGUUCGGAAUCACUGGGCUUAAAGGGCGCGUAGGCGGCUUGCCAAGUCAGGGGUGAAAUCCUGCAGCUUAACUGUAGAAAGGCCUUUGAUACUGGCGAGCUCGAGGGAGGUAGGGGUAUGUGGAACUUCCGGUGGAGCGGUGAAAUGCGUUGAUAUCGGAAGGAACGCCGGUGGCGAAAGCGACGUACUGGACCUCUUCUGACGCUGAGGCGCGAAAGCUAGGGGAGCAAACGGG
rnacentral:rRNA from 1 species